UACCUCAAAAAACCACAACAGUCUGUUUCAUCCGUAUAGGAAUCAUGAUGAUUCCUAUACGGAUGAAUGAUUCCUAUACGGAUGAAACAGACUGUUGUGGUUUUU